rnacentral:rRNA from 1 species
AAACUUAAAGGAAGUUGACGGGGCCGCACAAGCGGUGGAGCAUGUGGUUUAAUUCGAAGCAACGCGAAGAACCUUACCAGGUCUUGACAUCCCCUGACAACCCGAGAGAUCGGGCGUUCCCCUUCGGGGGACAGGGUGACAGGUGGUGCAUGGUUGUCGUCAGCUCGUGUCGUGAGAUGUUGGGUUAAGUCCCGCAACGAGCGCAACCCUCGACCUUAGUUGCCAGCAUUCAGUUGGGCACUCUAAGGUGACUGCCGGCUAAAAGUCGGAGGAAGGUGGGGAUGACGUCAAAUCAUCAUGCCCCUUAUGACCUGGGCUACACACGUGCUACAAUGGGCGGUACAAAGGGUCGCGAACCCGCGAGGGGGAGCCAAUCCCAAAAAGCCGCUCUCAGUUCGGAUUGCAGGCUGCAACUCGCCUGCAUGAAGAUGGAGUUGCUAGUAACCGCAGGUCAGCAAUACUGCGGUGAAUACGUUCCCGGGUCUU